UGAAAACUGGAGAAGCUGACAACUCCUAACCACCAGAAGCCUAGUACAGUCUCCUCUCUGUAGCCCAAGGACCAGGAUGAUGUCAGAAAAGGCUGAGUGGAGAACUGAGACUUUCAUCCCUGACAAAAGAUGUGAAACGAGGCCAAGUGAAGAACCUGUACUUCCAACUCGUCUGACGGUAACAAGAAGAUACCCACACACACUUCAUCCACUGCAGCGGCUGUCAGAGGAGGCUUGAUAAACACAAGAUUCAAAUAAUACCCAGCGUUUUAGCUCAAAGGUCCAGGUUUAGUUAAAAAAAAAUCACUCACUCGUCAUACAAAGAAUGAGGUAACCCCCUAGCUGAGUGAGAAGAGACAAACAAUUGACUCUGACACCAAGAUUACAUGGAUGUUAUUUUCUAACAAGAGAGUUUUUAAAGCAGGUACCAUAAAAAUGCUUCAGUGAGUAAUUACAAAAUGCUUAAAACAAAUUUGUUUUCCUAAGGCAAUAAAAGAAGUAGGAACCGAGUGGAAAUUUUAGCACACAAAAAUAUCAUCCACAGAUGAGUGGAUAAAGUGUGAUUACUGUAUCAAUCAGAAUGUUGUUCAGCCUUUAAACAAAGAUAUCCUGCCCUUUGUGACAACAUGGAUGAACCUGGAGGGCAUUAUGCUAAAUGAAAUAAGCCAGACACAGAAAGACAAAUACUGCAUGAUCUCAUUUACAUGUGGAAUGUGAAAAAGUUGAACUCACGGAGGCAGAGGGUAGAAUGGUGGUUGC